rnacentral:rRNA from 1 species
AACGAACGCUGGCGGCAUGCCUAACACAUGCAAGUCGAACGAGACCUUCGGGUCUAGUGGCGCACGGGUGCGUAACGCGUGGGAACCUGCCCUUAGGUUCGGAAUAACUCCCCGAAAGGGGUGCUAAUACCGGAUAAUGUCUUCGGACCAAAGAUUUAUCGCCUUUGGAUGGGCCCGCGUUGGAUUAGCUAGUUGGUAGGGUAAAAGCCUACCAAGGCGACGCUCCAUAGCUGGUCUGAGAGGAUGAUCAGCCACACUGGGACUGAGACACGGCCCAGACUCCUACGGGAGGCAGCAGUGGGGAAUAUUGGACAAUGGGCGAAAGCCUGAUCCAGCAAUGCCGCGUGAGUGAUGAAGGCCGUAGGGUUGUAAAGCUCUUUUACCCGGGAUGAUAAUGACAGUACCGGGAGAAUAAGCUCCGGCUAACUCCGUG